CUGACAGCUCUAGAAACCUCUCUUUAUCUACAGAAAAAGUACAGUGUGGACACUGGCAGGGCAGGAUUCUUCAUGCUUCCUUAGUGUGACUCACCUUCACCUGAAGGGACCACUCACAGGUCAGAUGGGGAUUCAUUCUCCAGGCCCAUUCAAUAGGUGACUUCU
rnacentral:sRNA from 1 species